rnacentral:rRNA from 1 species
AGAACGAACGCUGGCGGCAGGCCUCAAACAUGCAAGUCUAGGGGAUGUAGCAAUACAUCACCGGCGGACGGGUGCGUAACACGUGGGAAUAUACCUUUCGGUACGGAACAACUGCGGGAAACUGCAGCUAAUACCGUAUACGUCCUUACGGAGAAAGAUUUAUCGCCGAAGGAUUAGCCCGCGUUCGAUUAGCUAGUUGGUGAGGUAAUGGCUCACCAAGGCGACGAUCGAUAGCUGUUCUGAGAGGAAGAUCAGCCACACUGGGACUGAGACACGGCCCAGACUCCUACGGGAGGCAGCAGUUGGGAAUCUUGGACAAUGGGGGAAACCCUGAUCCAGCCAUGCCGCGUGAGUGAUGAAGGCCUUCGGGUUGUAAAGCUCUUUUACCCGGGAGAUAUGACUGUACCGGGAGAAUAAGCUCCGGCUAACUUCGCGCCAGCAGCCGC